GGCUUGUUAGUUCAGUUGGUUAGAACAUGGUGCUGAUAACACCAAGGUCCUGGGUUCGAGCCCUAAACCAGCCA